CAGCCGCGUCCUCCCUUCCCUCUCUCUCCCCGACCUCUCUCUCGUCCUCUUACUGCCAGCGCCGGAAAACACCAUUUCAGACCACCACCUAGCAAAACCGUCACCAGGAAUCGAACCAGCAUCCAAAACCAACCCAAGCCCAAGCCUCACCAUCGACAUGCAUCGACUCCGGCCUCCACCUGCGAUCCUCCGAACCGCGACGCCACUGUCGCUACCUCCCUUCGGAUUCCGGCUACCGCCUCGCCACACCACCACCACCGCUCAACUCAGUGGACUACGGAGACCAAAACCCAAAGGCAGCUACCCCAACCGACGCUGGAGAAUCGCCGUACACGCCACCACCGAUGGCAUCGAAUCUGCAUGUCUUCGUUUUCUGGCCUCCAGUCCAAAUCGAGCGAAACCACCUUCAAGAAUGGGAUCAGCGCCUUGUCAAACCCCAAAACCCUAGGGCCCCGACCUCUAACUCUGACCAGAACCACCUCGCGCCGCACGCGCCACCGUUGGCUCGUGAGAAACCCCUAGCUUCGCCGCUCACGGCUGCUGGAGCUUCAGAUCGCCCUUAUUAGGUAAUGUUCGUGUUUCCCCUUCUGAUUGGAGUUUCUGGUUUAAGUGGAAUGAAAUCCCUAAUUCUAUUGAUUGGACUGUGUGAGGUUUAUGAAUCUGCGAUAUGAAGUUUAUGGAGAAGGUGAGCUAUUGGGAUAGCUUUGAUCGAAUUCAGAUACGGAUCCGAAAGGUUAAAGGUGAUGAGAUGCAGCUAUGAGGAAUUGGUUCCUAUUUGGAAAAGAAGUUGUGGUAAGGGUCCGGGUAUCUUAGAUAUGUAUUGCCUUGGUCUGAUUAUGUAAAUUGAAGAUGUGGUUUUAUUGAAUACGCGAAACGAAACUUGGUUCUGUGCAAUAUCAAUUAUGUCGGAAACUUGGCAUGAAUGAACGAGUGUAAAUGAGCUUAGAGGAUUGGUUUUGUUUAAUUAAAGGAGUGAA